rnacentral:rRNA from 1 species
AUGGCGGCGGCUCUCGGCCCGGCGGCCACGCUCCUCGGCAAGGUGUUCACGAUGCCGUCGGCCGCCCCGGUGGCGGCGUACGUGGACAACCUCGAGCUCGGCCACAACUCCCAGCAGAUCAGGGCCAAGCUCGCACACACACGAGGCCUGCUGCACAACGCCCAGGCCCAGGUGAGCCACAACCCUGGACUAAAGGAGCUGCUGGCGGCGCUGAGCAGGAACGCAGACCAGGCGAAGAACCUGCUGGAUGAGCUCCACUACUUCCAGAUCCAUGACAAGCUCCACGGCACCCACUACGCCACCACCCAAGAGGCCGGCCAUCAAGCUCUUCACGCCGGUAGUGCUCUUCGCGACUUGUUCCGGUGCUUUUCUUGCUCGCCUACACCCAAGAGCAAGAGGGAUGGUAGUGAUGAUGAUGCUGUUGCUGUUGCCGGUGCACCACACCACGUCGCCAACACCCUAGGCAACUUGCUCCAGUGCUUUUCUUGCUCCUGUGCAACCAAGAGGAAUGGUGGUGGUGAUGCUGCUGCUGCUAGUGCUGAUGAUGGUGAUACGCUGCAUUUCAACAGAGUGUCCAUGUCCAGGGAAAUCAAGUUCCUGUUACAGGGCAUGCAGUCGAACUGUGAUUCUGUCUCCAAUUUGCUCGGCACUAUCCCAAGCAGCAGCACAGCAGUGGCAGUCGUCCAAGAUAGGCCUCAGACUGCUUCCAUGAUUGUACAAGAUACAUUGUAUGGCAGGAAAGGCAUUUUUGAGGAAACUGUCAACCGUAUCACUACUGCCACACACACUCUUUCUGUUCUUCCUAUAGUUGGUCCAGGGGGCAUUGGCAAGACAACAUUCACCACUCACCUGUACAAUGAUGCAAGGACUCAAGACCACUUCCAAAUCAGGGUCUAG